rnacentral:rRNA from 1 species
UGGCGGACGGGUGAGUAACGCGUGGGUAACCUGCCAUAUACAGGGGGAUAACACUUAGAAAUAGGUGCUAAUACCGCAUAAGCGCACAUGGCCGCAUGGCCAGGUGUGAAAAACUCCGGUGGUAUAUGAUGGACCCGCGUCUGAUUAGCUAGUUGGUGGGGUAACGGCCCACCAAGGCGACGAUCAGUAGCCGGCCUGAGAGGGUGGACGGCCACAUUGGGACUGAGACACGGCCCAAACUCCUACGGGAGGCAGCAG